rnacentral:rRNA from 1 species
AAAGGAAUAGACGGGUCCCCGCACAAGCAGCGGAGCGUGUGGUUUAAUUCGUUGCUACGCGAAGAACCUUACCUGGGUUUGACAUAGCAGUGGUAGGGAAACGAAAGUGGACCGACCCUUCGGGGAGCUGUUACAGGUGUUGCAUGGCUGUCGUCAGCUCGUGUCGUGAGAUGUUCGGUUAAGUCCGCUAACGAGCGCAACCCUCGUGAUGUGUUACAUGUGUCACAUCAUACCGCCGGUAUUAAGUCGGAGGAAGGUGGGGAUGACGUCAAGUCAGCAUGACCUUUAUAUCCAGGGCUACACACACGCUACAAUGGUCUGUACAAUAGGUUGCCAAGCCGCGAGGCGGAGCCAAUCCUACAAAGCAGGCCUCAGUUCAGAUUGCAGUCUGCAACUCGACUGCAUGAAGUCGGAGUUGCUAGUAACCGCAGGUCAGCUACACUGCGGUGAAUACGUUCCCGGGGAUUGUACACACCGCCCGU